rnacentral:rRNA from 1 species
ACUGCUCAGUAACACGUAGCUAACCUACCCUUAAGUCGAGGAUACUCUCGGGAAACUGAGGUUAAUACUCGAUAGGAGAUGUACCCUGGAAUGAUUCAUCUCUCAAAUUCGGGCUUAAGGAUGGGGCUGCGGCGGAUUAGGUUGUUGGCGGGGUAAAAGCCCACCAAGCCGAUGAUCCGUAAGGGCUCUUAGCGGAGAGGCCCUGAGAGGGAAUCUGAGACACUAUUCCCAGCCCUACGGGGUGCAGCAGUUAGGAAUCUUCUGCAAUGCGCGCAAGCGUGACAGAUUGAGUCAGAGUGCUUUUCAUAUGAAAAGCUUUUGCCAAAUGCAAAAAGUUUGGCGAAUAAGGACUGGGUAAGACGGGUGCCAGCCGCCGCGGUAAUACCCGCGGUCCAAGUCGCAGCCAUCAUUAUUGGGUCUAAAACAUCCGUAGCUUGCUUAGUAAGUUUCUUGUGAAAUUCUAUGUCUUAAAUAUAGAGCGGGCAAGAAGUACUGUUAAGCUAGAGACUGGAAGACGUAAGAAGUACGUUUGGAGUAGCGGUAAAAUGUGUUAAUCCCAGACGGACUAACAACAGCGAAGGCAUCUUACGAGGACAGUUCUGACAGUAAGGGAUGAAGGCUAGGGGCGCGAAAGGGAUUAGAUACCCCUGUAGUCCUAGCAGUAAACACUGCACACUAAACAUUAGUACCUCCUCGAGAGGUGUUAGUGCUGAAGAGAAGUCGAAGAGUGUGCUACCUGGGAAGUAUAGUCGCAAGGCUGAAACUUAAAGGAAUUGGCGGGGGAGCA